AACGCGAAGAACCUUACCAGGCCUUGACAUCCCCCUGACCGGUGCAGAGAUGUGCCUUUCCUUCGGGACAGGGGAGACAGGUGGUGCAUGGUUGUCGUCAGCUCGUGUCGUGAGAUGUUGGGUUAAGUCCCGCAACGAGCGCAACCCUUGAUGCUAGUUGCCAGCGAGUAAGGUCGGGCACUCUAGGAUGACUGCCGGUGACAAACCGGAGGAAGGUGGGGAUGACGUCAAAUCAUCAUGCCCCUUAUGGCCUGGGCUACACACGUACUACAAUGGCCGUUACAGAGGGAAGCAAGGCCGCGAGGCGGAGCGAAUCUCAGAAAGGCGGUCUCAGUUCGGAUUGCAGGCUGCAACUCGCCUGCAUGAAGUCGGAAUUGCUAGUAAUCGCGGAUCAGCAUGCCGCGGUGAAUACGUUCCCGGGCCUUGUACACACCGGAGUA
rnacentral:rRNA from 1 species